rnacentral:rRNA from 1 species
AGUGAACGCUGGCGGUAGGCCUAACACAUGCAAGUCGAACGGCAGCACAGUAAGAGCUUGCUCUUACGGGUGGCGAGUGGCGGACGGGUGAGGAAUACAUCGGAAUCUACUUUUUCGUGGGGGAUAACGUAGGGAAACUUACGCUAAUAACGCAUACGACCUACGGGUGAAAGCCGGGGAUCUUCGGACCUUGCGCGAUUGAAUGAGCCGAUGUCGGAUUAGCUAGUUGGCGGGGUAAAGGCCCACCAAGGCGACGAUCCGUAGCUGGUCUGAGAGGAUGAUCAGCCACACUGGAACUGAGACACGGUCCAGACUCCUACUGGAGGCAGCAUUGGGGAAUAUUGGACAAUGGGCGCAAGCCUGAUCCAGCCAUACCGCGUGGGUGAAGAAGGCCUUCGGGUUGUAAAGCCCUUUUGUUGGGAAAGAAAAGCAGCAGGUUAAUACCCCGCUGUUCUGACGGUACCCAAAGAAUAAGCACCGGCUAACUUCGUG